AGCAGCCGCGGUAAUUCCAGCUCCAAUAGCGUAUAUUAAAGUUGUUGCAGUUAAAAAGCUCGUAGUUGAAUUUCGGGAUUAAUUUAUUGGUCGUGCAAUAGUACGUACUGGUAUUAUUGAUUCCUACCUUCUGACGAACCAUGAUGUCAUUAAUUUGGUGUCAUGGGGAAUCAGGACUGUUACUUUGAAAAAAUUAGAGUGUUUAAAGCAGGCUCACGCUUGAAUACAUUAGCAGGGAAUAACGAAAUAGGACGUUUGAUUCUAUUUUGUUGGUUUCUAGGAUCGACGUAAUGAUUAAUAGGGAUAGUUGGGGGCAUUAGUAUUCAAUUGUCAGAGGUGAAAUUCUUGGAUUUAUUGAAGACUAACUACUGCGAAAGCAUUUGCCAAGGAUGUUAUCAUUAAUCAAGAACGAAAGUUAGGGGAUCGAAGACGAUCAGAUACCGUCGUAGUCUUAACCAUAAACUAUGCCGACUAGGGAUCGGAUGAUGUUAAUUUUUUAAUGACUCA
rnacentral:rRNA from 1 species